AGUGAACGCUGGCGGUAGGCCUAACACAUGCAAGUCGAACGGCAGCACAGGAGAGCUUGCUCUCUAGGUGGCGAGUGGCGGACGGGUGAGGAAUACAUCGGAAUCUGCCCAGUCGUGGGGGAUAACGUAGGGAAACUUACGCUAAUACCGCAUACGACCUUCGGGUGAAAGAGGGGGAUCGCAAGACCUCUCGCGAUUGGAUGAGCCGAUGUCGGAUUAGCUAGUUAGCGGGGUAAUGGCCCACCAAGGCGACGAUCCGUAGCUGGUCUGAGAGGAUGAUCAGCCACACUGGAACUGAGACACGGUCCAGACUCCUACGGGAGGCAGCAGUGGGGAAUAUUGGACAAUGGGCGCAAGCCUGAUCCAGCCAUACCGCGUGGGUGAAGAAGGCCUUCGGGUUGUAAAGCCCUUUUGUUGGGAAAGAAAUCUUUCAGGCUAAUACCCUGGGAGGAUGACGUUACCCAAAGAAUAAGCACCGGCUAACUUCGUG
rnacentral:rRNA from 1 species